rnacentral:rRNA from 1 species
CAGUCAUGAAAUUGAUCUGCCCGUGCAGAAGCGGACAUAAAAAUACAAGACGAGAAGACCCUUUGGAGCUUAAGAUAAACAACCAACUAUGUCAAGAGCCUAACAAAAUAGACUAAACUAAAUAGCACCUGGUUCCUAUCUUCAGUUGGGGCGACUGCGGGAGAAAACAAAGCUCCCACGAGGAUUGGGACCACCCUAAAACUAAGAAAGCCAUUUCUAAGUCACAGAACAUCUGACCUUUUAAGAUCCGGCCACCCGCCGACCAACGAACCUAGUUACCCUAGGGAUAACAGCGCAAUCCCCUUUCAGAGUCCAUAUCGACAAGGGGGUUUACGACCUCGAUGUUGGAUCAGGACAUCCUAAUGGUGCAGCCGCUAUUAAGGGUUCGUUUGUUCAACGAUUAAAGUCCUACGUGAUCUGAGUUCAGACCGGAGCAAUCCAGGUCAGUUUCUUCUUGUAAUG